ensembl:lncRNA
GUUCAAAUUUGCAUGAAAAAGGAGAAAGAAAACCUGUUUUUGCUAGUCUAGGCAAUACAGUGUGCCAGAAGCUAAUGAGACAUGAAUAAGGCCAGAAAUGCACAUCUUUUCACUUCUUUAAACUUUCUGUCUUUCAGCUGCUUCUGACUUUUCCUCAGAUAUCAGCACAACUUUACUGUGCUGACAAAGUCUAUGUGUGUUCAUACGGCUAAAAAACACCAAAAAUCCCUUGUUUCAUCCUUUUUUCCCCUUCCAAUCUAAAUGUAUGGCUCAAGGUGAGAAACUGAAUUGUCUAUUUUCACAGUACUAAAUGGCAUUAUAAAAAAGGGAAGUGAAACUCUUCAGACAGUAUACUCUAGCAGGGCUUUAUUCUUGUUCUUCUGUUUUUCAGUAUUACUCUCAAUAAUAUUUUCUACAAGGGACAGUGAAACUUUAAGAAUUUGAUCCAGCACUGAGAUUAUUCCAACAUUAAGACAGCAUUUUUAUAGGCUAUUUGAGCCAUUCCCAAUGCAGGCUUCUCAGCUCUGCCCACUGCCAGACACAUUCUCUUUUCUAGGCACUAGAUCAUGGAUUUAUCCCACCAAACAAGAAAAUUUGACUUAGAGAAGUCACAGCCUUGCUCACUGUAGAAAUAUGCAAAUACAAUACCAGUUGUGAGAUAAAUAUUCAUUAAAAAGAUUGUUUCAAAAUAAAGAAAAAUAUCCACCUAAAUUAGCUCAAAUUCCACCCUUAUAGAGAAGUCCAAUAACAUGUUCAUUUUAAAAUAGCCUACAUAAAUGAGAGACUUACAAAGGAAAACUGAUUCAAAGCCUUACUCACUUUUUUCCACUGAAAAUCUUCAAGAAGCUCUGCAUUUACUGUUUGAAGAGUAAGUCCAUUAAACAACCUCAAGUGCUUGGGUGCACAUACUUAUACAAAACUCUGAUAAGUUCAUCCAUUUUAUUACUUUUGACUUAUAUAGAAAAUCGAAGAGACUCCAAAGUAAUAAUAAAGAUGAAUUCCUUCCUCACCACUCGAAAGAAAUCCAAAGAGUAAUUCUAAAUUCUCCUUUGAACACACCUCGAACAAGGCCUGUAAUUUCUCCUGUUGCUCCGGAAGGAUAAAAUACAAUAUUUUACAACAUAAUACAAUUCAUUACAAAAUUAAUUAUAUAUAUAUAUGUAAUCACUACUCUGAGAAAACAUGCUAUGAGAUUCUAGUAACAGAUCUGGCAGGUGAUCUUCAUGUAAGAGGUAAAGAAAAACAGCGUUUACUUAACUGAUAACUAAAGCUAACAGAAUAAGAAAAUCUGACUCAAUAUUGCUCACAAUCAACAAGGCAGGAAUAAUGGAUUGCUUAGACCCUUCGUUCUACCACUGAUGCCUCUCUGGAUCCUUAUGAGCAUCAUGUAAGAACUUCACUGGUCAUCACUGAGAAGCUGCACAAGGUUUGAUGCUGACCCCUGUAUAACUCUGGUGCAAUUCACCACCAAUUAAUUUAGUAUCAUAUAAUCAUGUAAUCAUAGAAUCAUAGAAUGGCCUGGGUUGAAAAGGACCACAAUGAUCAUCGAGUUUUAACCCCCCUGCUAUGUGCAGCAUCACCAACCAGCAGACCAGGCUGCCCAGAGCCACAUCCAGCCUGGCCUUGAAUGCCUGCAGGGAUGGGGCAUCCACAACCUCCUUGAGCAACCUGUUCCAAUGUGUCACCACCCUCUGAGUAUCCAUUAUGAGAAUCCAACUGUUCAUAAACUACAUAGGUCGCUCUAGAAGUAAUGCAUAUAUUUCCAUGGAAGGUACAAUGCAUACAAAGAACAAAAUAACACUAUUGAAUAGAGUGAAUUCUCAGCUACAAAAAACAAUCAUCACCAUUAGCAGAAUGUGUGGAUGAGCUGAUUGAGACUGUCUUCAGUUCAUGGUCUGACAGCUGUGCAUGGCUGUCUAGAACAUGGUUUGUAUUUCAUGUCAUUAUCACCACUGCAGAAAUACAAAACCCACCCCUUGUUGUGCUCAAACCCACUGUUUGGUCUCCAUAAACAUUCGGUAAGCAUCAAUGAAUGUCAGUAGGUGCUGCUUUUUCUUCAAGGAAGAAUUCAAUUACACACCUUUGCUCCAUACCCAUUUCCAUGUCAGAUGCCGUACUUUCAGACUGUCUUUCUGCUGUUGUCUGUCACACAGAACAAAAUGUAGCAGGAUAUUGGUGGGAAGACUCAGUAUCUACUGUCAUCCCACCGACAUCUGCCUCUGACGUCGUGGCCCAAGACAAUAAAAUAGAAGGCAUUACUUUUGGAGCAUCCUUUGCAGUAGAAAUGCAGGAUGUGCAGCCCACUCCCCUUCCCUGGCAAAGGGUAGAAGAUUUUUCUGCACUUUGGCCAUUUUUACUCUCAUCCAUCACAGCUACUGUCAGCAGGAUGCAACAUUUUCUUUAAAAUGGAAUUAAAAUCUGAAUUUUCAUGAUGAUCCCUUGAGCGAUGAGGUAAACUCAGACCAGAAGUGUCGCUUAUCCUAUUGGUAACCAGAGCUGCAGUUUGCAGUUUACUAUAACUGCAAAUGGUGGGUAUUAAGGAGGAUUAAAAUAAAUACUUGGAGUGUGCAGAGCCCCCUCAGCAUCAUGACCUGAUGAACGCUGUUUCUCUGUAGUUGAUUAAACACAGAUUGAACUGCUAGCUGUUCCGUGCUUCCAUUGGCUCACUCUUCUUCAGAUGCACUAAUCUUGGAAAAAGCUGCCCACACCCUAAACUUUAUACCCCACAAUUUUGGCUUUGAUUUCACUGGAAUUAGCACACGAGGGAAGGUACAAGUUAUAUUCUUUCCAUGGUCUCAUGAGUGAUAUUAUUAUUUCAAGGCCAGGGAUGGGGCAUCCACAGCCUCCUUGGACAACCUGUUCCAGUGCGUCACCACUCUCUGAGUGAAUAACUUCCACCU